rnacentral:rRNA from 1 species
GGCGAAGGAUGCAAGCGUUAUCCGGAUUCAUUGGGUUUAAAGGGAGCGUAGGUGGCCUUAUAAGUCAGUGGUGAAAUCUUCGAGCUUAACUCGGAAAUUGCCAUUGAUACUGUAGGGCUUGAGUACAGUUGCUGUGGCGAACUGAUGACAUGUAGUGGUGAAAUACAUAGAGAUGUCAUAGAACACCGAUUGCGAAGGCAGCUCACAAAACUGUAACUGACACUGAGGCUCGAAAGUGCGGGGAUCAAACAGG